AGUCAAGUUUCAAUACGAAUAUCGGAUACCGAAUGAAAACAGGAGUGAAAAUAUGACAAUCAAUUUAGAAGUUAAUAUCAAAGCAGUGGUUAGUUAAAAUGUGGUGUGGGAAUGAGGGAAGGGAAGGUCCAAGAGAGCAAAAAUGCGCAUAGCCUUCCACCAAAAUACAUGUGUCAAAUUCUUGGGCAACACGUUAAGCAAAGAACCUUAUUGUCUCUCUUACUCUUGUCACCUUCCCAUUUCUUAGGGGCCAAAAAAUUCAGUAGUAGCACAUUUCCACGUUCCCUUUUUCUGUCCUCUCUCCAUCUUUCUCUUUGUACAACUCACCCCCACGUUCUUCCUCUCUCUACGCAACAGCAAAUCUCAGGUUGCAGAGAAGGCUGCGUAAGUUGAAAGCAAAAUGCAUAGAGUAACGGUGAUCGAGAGAUUUUCUAAAACUUUCCGUGAUAAUCCUUCGCUUUCUAAGCUGCUCAUUGUUUUUACUGUCAGUUUUCUUCCGGCUUGGGGAAUGCUAAAUGCUAUACUGUAGACUGUGGAGAUGUGCAAGUCAAGAUAUAAAGCUUUGUAAAUCAAAGGUGAAUAUAGCAUAAAGAACUGGGAAUUGAGGACCGAGGCUGCAAUGAGAGUUCAUCUGAUGAGAUAUAUGCUUCGCUUCAUUUCCCACCGUUCUGUACUAAAUCAGUAAAUAUGGCAUGUUCUUUUAGUACAUCCAUACCUGGAAUCCUUUUGUGUAUAAGUGCUACAAAAUUUCCUUUUGUGUAUAAAUGCUACAAAAUUUUGGUAUUUGAUUA